CGUAGGGUUCGGUCGAGAGGAAGGUCCCCCCACACUGGUACUGAGACACGGACCAGACUCCUACGGGAGGCAGCAG
rnacentral:rRNA from 1 species